UACGUUUGGCGUGUUAGCGGAACAAAAGGUUGCCGCGCCGCUGAGGUUUUCAGUAUGUAAAACAUUCUCUGAAGACCACUGUAGCAUUGAAGCCGCAAGCUGAGCUGUUCGCAAGCAAUGACUCCACAGUAAUCAAGCGAGGAGGAUAGAGUUGAUGCGACUAACCCCUUCCAUCUGAUACGCAAAUUUCAGCGCCAUAUUGCGAUCUGAAUGGAAGACCUUGUCCAGCAACAGCCAGCAAUAUGUCGGCCGUGAAGUUUGGACUCGUCCUAAUCCUCGCACUCGCAGUCAUGGUGGAGAAUAUCUCAAGUGUGAGUCAGACUCCCCUCCGUCUCUAUUGUGAAGGUCGACGCUGCACGAAACCAGGGGACAAGAUGUGCGGAGUAAUGUGCGAUUGCAUUGGAAUUUUUUGCCUGGGAAGACGACGUGUAUUAACCAGGUGACGGGUAACUCGAAAAUACACCGUAUGAUUGCAUGUCCAUGCGCUUACAAAACUGACCAAAUUAAAAUUUACAAGCUCCAGUCAGAAAAAAGUUCGUGUCAAUUUACACAGCUCAAUGGUCGCCAUGGCGUUGAAUGAGUACAUGGAAUCGUACGGGUUUCUUGGCAAAUAGAGGCAACGGGUAUUGGUGCCUUCGUGCUAUAGGGAAUGUUGAAGCACGUGUAAUUAGAGCCGAUAGCUAGUGAUGCUAUGGCCUGUUUUUGCUGAAAAAAUAAGAAAAAUAAAGUU
rnacentral:misc_RNA from 1 species